CUACUAUCUGUGUAUCUAAUCUGUUUUGUUUAUCUGUCUAUUCGGUUUGUCUGUGUCUUUGUAAAUUAGGUAAUCUUUCAAUAUGCCAGGCAGCACAUGUAAAACAUGCCCCUCCUGCAAAACCAUUCUGCCUUGCGCUAAAAAGGUUUGCAGCCACUGCAAAAUGGUCCAGCCUGUAAAGGAACGCCUCAAAAUUGCCUUGAGAAAAUUUGAGGCUAAGCGGGAAGAGUGGGCGUCUUCCCGCAAGAAGAACCACAACAUGGCUGUUGUCAAGCAGGAAAUGUUCCUCCUGCUCGAAAAGCUUCAAGCAGCAGGAUAUAAACCUGUCCUGCUGCUUGGAAAAGCCACUAAAAAGAGCCAUGUGGUCAAGGUGUUCACACCUCGUUGCACCUUGGCCACAUUUGCGGAGGAGUCCCUCAAAAAAAUGGGCUCCAUCCAUGAGUACAUUUGUCAAGGUAUGAUUCUUUAUUUUUAUAAAUUCCACACACCCUCUGCUUUGUUUACCAAAAUACUAACUGCAUCUUGUUAUUUGUCCACCACAUUCAUUUUUAUCAUGGAACUAUUGCUACAAUUUUUUUGGUUGCCAUUUGCAAUUUAAUAACCCUUUGCAACACUUUUCAAACUUGCACAGGAUGGACCCCUUUUGCAAGUGGGACUGCAGAGGGGCCAGAAGAGGGCAGGGGGACCACUCAGGUGAAGACAUACAGGAAUAUCUAUGACAAUUAAAGAGGCUAAUCCUAUAUAUUGUUAUAUACUGCAUAUAUACUCCAAUAUAUUAUGCUACAAAUUACAAUAUACUAAGUCAGCUGUAUAAGUGCUAACCUCUUGUCAUGUUUGUUUAUGGUUAUUUAUGUGUAUAGAUGUGUAUAGAUCUGUAUGGUCUUAAUUUCAUAUUUUUUAAAACUGAAUUUACACUUGCACUGUUGAAGUUCCACUGUUGGACUUUGAGUGAGUGUUAUCUUAUGUCAUCUUAGAUGGACAUGGACAUGGGAGAGGUGGAGGACAGGGCCGUG
rnacentral:lncRNA from 1 species